rnacentral:rRNA from 1 species
GAUGAACGCUGGCGGCGUGCCUAAUACAUGCAAGUCGAGCGAACGGACGAGAAGCUUGCUUCCCUGAUGUUAGCGGCGGACGGGUGAGUAACACGUGGAUAACCUACCUAUAAGACUGGGAUAACUUCGGGAAACCGUAGCUAAUACCGGAUAAUAUUUUGAACCGCAUGGUUCAAAAGUGAAAGACGGUCUUGCUGUUUCUUAUAGAUGGACCCGCGCUGCAUUAGCUAGUUGGUAAGGUAACGGCUUACCAAGGCAACGAUGCAUAGCCGACCUGAGAGGGUGAUCGGCCACACUGGAACUGAGACACGGUCCAGACUCCUACGGGAGGCAGCAGUAGGGAAUCUUCCGCAAUGGGCGAAAGCCUGACGGAGCAACGCCGCGUGAGUGAUGAGGUUCUUCGGGUCGUAAAACUCUGUUAUGAGGGAAGAACAUAUGUGUAAGUAACUAUGCACAUCUUGACGGUACCUAAUCAGAGAGCCACGGCUAACUACGUG